rnacentral:rRNA from 1 species
UUGGCGUUCACCGACGAGUACAAGGGCGACAAGGCCGUGGAGGCCCAUGGAAACACCAAGUUGCUUGUCAUCCACACCAAUGACAAGAAGCAGAUGGCGAUCUCCCUCGCCCAGUACGAGCGCCACCUCAGCCUCCAGCGCCACAAGAUCGUCGGCAUUGAUCUCGAGUACAACAACGAGCCUGAAGCGAUGCAGAAACCCGCCCUCUGCCAGCUCUCCAUCAGCAAGAAUCACCCGGUGCUGCUCUUCCAACUGAGUGUCGCUGAAAGGUGCACCGUCUUCGACAACUUCCUCGCCGACCCCAGGUACACCUUUGCAGGCUUCUCCAUCGACGGCGACAAAACCAGGCUAGAGCGCGUCAAUCUAGAGAAGAAGAUCACCGGCGACAAACACAAGCAUUGGGCCACCCUGCCUCUGUCCAUGAGGCACAUCGAGUACGCGGCAAAGGAUGCUUGCGCAGCAACAAACACGAGAGAGCAGAGGAGAGUCAUGGCAGAUGCACCUCUGUACAAGCAGCGCCGCACGUACACCAGGGAGCUCGGCAACCACAAGCUCCACGUCGUUUGCACAAGCAAGGGUGAAGACGUGGAUAAGAUGUUGUCCACAUUCAGGAGGAAGCUCGGUGGAAUGCCCGUCAAACUAGUCGGUGUUGAUGUCGAGUACACACACUACGUGAAGCCACAGCGGGCAGUAGUGCUCCAGCUAUGCGUAGAAAAAGAAUGCCUUGUCUACCACAUCUCUACAGCUAAAGACAGGCCAAUGGAACUAGAAAAAUUCCUAAUGAAUGGUGAGUACACCUUUGUCGGAUUCGCCAUUGAAGGAGACAAAAGCAAGCUGAAGGUAUCUGGUUUGGAGAUCGACUCCGACAACUACAUUGAUAUUCUGGUGGAAUGGAGAGAUCCA